UGGGGAAUCUUGCACAAUGGGGGAAACCCUGAUGCAGCGACGCCGCGUGAACGAUGAAGCCCUUCGGGGUGUAAAGUUCUUUCGACAGGAACGAUAAUGACGGUACCUGGAGAAGAAGCUGCGGCUAACUACGUGCCAGCAGCCGCGGUAAUACGUAGGCAGCGAGCGUUGUUCGGAGUUACUGGGCGUAAAGAGUGCGUAGGCGGCGAGCCAAGUUUGGUGUGAAAUCUCCCGGCUUAACCGGGAGGGUGCGCCGAAAACUGGUUGGCUGGAGUAUGGGAGAGGAAAGCGGAAUUCCUGGUGUAGCGGUGAAAUGCGUAGAUAUCAGGAGGAACACCUGCGGUGUAGACAGCUUUCUGGACCAAAACUGACGCUGAGGCACGAAAGCGUGGGUAUCAAACA
rnacentral:rRNA from 1 species